rnacentral:rRNA from 1 species
AGAGUUCGAUCAUGGCUCAGAACGAACGCUGGCGGCACGCCUAAUACAUGCAAGUCGAACGAAGUAGCAAUACUUAGUGGCGAACGGGUGAGUAUAAUGUGGGUAUCUGCCUUUUGGUGAGGAAUAACACGGGGAAACUUGUGCUAAUACCUCAUGAGCCUUCACAGGGAAAGUUUUAACGCCAAAAGAUGAGCCCGCACUCGAUUAGCUAGUUGGUAAGGUAAUGGCUUACCAAGGCUACGAUCAAUAGCUGAUCUGAGAGGAUGAUCAGCCACAUUGGGACUGAGACACGGCCCAAACUCCUACGGGAGGCAGCAGUAGGGAAUCUUGCACAAUGGGGGAAACCCUGAUGCAGCGAUGCCGCGUGAGUGAAGAAGGCCUUUGGGUUGUAAAGCUCUUUCGUCGGGGAAGAAAAUGACUGUACCCGAAUAAGAAGGUCCGGCUAACUUCGUGCCAGCCGCCGCGA